GUGGUAGUGCAACGAUAUCUACUCUGUGAUUGGUCCACACGCUAUAGGAUGUUGCAAGGAAGUUUCACUUACUACUUUUGUCAUUAGUUUUCUCCUUGUUUUAAAGAAUCCACCUAACAGACCACACAAAUUACUCAUUCAUAUUCUCCAUUUUCAAAGUCUUUUUUCAUCCAUAUUCUUUCAAUUCUCAUGGCUAUGCAAUCACCUUCCCGAGUGUUCCUCAGUUUCAGGGGCAGUGACACUCGCAACAAAUUUACCGGUAAUCUCUAUAAGGCUCUUGUUGACAAGGGAAUUCGUACUUUCAUUGAUGAUAAUGAUCUUGAAAGAGGAGAUGAAAUCACACCAUCACUUGUCAAGGCCAUUGAAGAAUCUAGGAUUUUUAUUCCCAUAUUUUCUGCCAACUAUGCAUCUUCUUCAUUUUGUUUGGACGAACUUGUCCACAUCAUUCACUGCUACAAGACAAAGAGUUGCUUAGUAUUUCCCGUUUUCUAUGAUGUGGAACCUACUCACAUACGAAAUCAGAGUGGGAUUUAUGGUGAGCAUCUUACUAAGCAUGAAGAGAGGUUUCAAAAUAACGAGAAAAACAUGGAGCGAUUGCGUCAAUGGAAGAUAGCUCUUAUCCAAGCUGCUAACUUGUCCGGCUAUCAUUAUAGUCCUCAUGGAUAUGAAUACAAGUUUAUUGAGAAGAUAGUCGAAGACAUCUCCAACAAUAUCAAUCAUGUUUUUUUAAAUGUAGCCAAAUACCCUGUUGGAUUACAGUCCCGAAUAGAAGAAGUGAAAUUGCUUCUUGACAUGGGCUCUGAGGAUGAGGUCCGCAUGGUAGGACUUUUUGGUACUGGAGGCAUGGGUAAAUCAACACUUGCAAAAGCAGUUUAUAAUUUUGUUGCUGAUCAAUUUGAAGGUGUAUGUUUUCUUCAUAAUGUCAGAGAGAAUUCAAGUCAUAAUAACCUGAAACAUCUCCAGGAAGAUCUCCUUUUAAGAACAGUUAAAUUGAACCAUAAGUUAGGAGAUGUUAGUGAGGGAAUUUCAAUCAUUAAGGAAAGACUAUCUAGAAAGAAGAUUCUUUUGAUUCUUGAUGAUGUUGACAAACUGGAGCAGCUAGAGGCUUUGGCUGGAGGACUUGAUUGGUUCGGUCAUGGAAGCAGGGUCAUCAUUACCACUCGUGAUAAACACUUACUAGCCUGUCAUGGGAUUACAAGUACACAUGCAGUAGAAGAAUUGAAUGAGACAGAAGCUCUUGAAUUGUUGAGGCGAAUGGCUUUUAAAAAUGACAAAGUUCCUUCAAGUUAUGAAGAAAUUUUAAACCGUGUAGUUACUUAUGCAUCUGGCCUGCCCUUAGCAAUAGUAACAAUAGGGGGCAAUUUGUUUGGAAGGAAGGUAGAAGAUUGGGAGCGUACAUUAGACGAGUAUGAAAAUAUUCCCGAUAAAGAUAUCCAAAGGAUACUUCAAGUAAGCUAUGAUGCUUUGAAGGAAAAGGAUCAGAGUGUCUUUCUAGACAUUGCUUGUUGCUUCAAAGGGUGUGAAUGGACAAAGGUUAAAAAAAUACUUCAUGCUCAUUAUGGCCAUUGCAUAGAACAUCAUGUUGGAGUGUUGGCUGAAAAAUCUCUCAUAGGCCAUUGGGAAUAUGACACUUAUGUGACCUUACAUGACUUGAUAGAGGACAUGGGUAAAGAAAUCGUCCGACAAGAAUCUCCCAACAAGCCUGGAGAACGCAGUAGGUUGUGGUUUCCCGAUGAUAUAGUUAACGUUUUAAGAGAUAAUACAGGAACUGGGAAUAUUGAAAUGAUAUAUUUAGAAUUUGACUCAACGGCAAGAGAAACAGAGUGGGAUGGAAUGGCUUGCAAGAAGAUGACAAAUCUCAAAACACUUAUCAUUGAAUAUGCUAACUUUUCAAGGGGUCCUGGGUAUCUUCCAAGUAGUUUGAGAUAUUGGAAAUGGAUAUUCUGUCCUUUGAAGUCUCUAUCUUGUAUUUCGAGCAAGGAGUUCAACUAUAUGAAAGUCUUGACAUUGAACUAUUCUCGAUAUUUAACCCAUAUACCCGAUGUCUCAGGUCUUCCAAAUCUAGAAAAGUGCUCCUUUCAAAACUGUGAAAGUUUAAUUAGAAUUCACAGUUCGAUUGGACACCUAAAUAAACUUGAAAUCUUAAAUGCAUCUGGUUGCAGCAAGCUUGAGCAUUUUCCACCCUUACAGCUGCUCUCUCUUAAGAAAUUCAAAAUCUCUCAUUGUGAGAGUCUCAAGAAAAUUACAAUUCACAACUCGAUUGGACACCUAAAUAAACUUGAAAUCUUAAAUACAUCUAAUUGCCUCAAACUUGAGCAUUUCCCACCCUUACAGCUGCCCUCUCUUAAGAAAUUUGAAAUCUCUGGUUGUGAGAGUCUCAAGAAUUUUCCAGAAUUAUUAUGUAAGAUGACAAAUAUAAAAGAUAUUGAGAUAUAUGAUACUUCCAUAGAAGAAUUGCGAUAUUCAUUUCAAAAUUUCAGUGAACUUCAACGGUUAACAAUAUCUGGAGGGGGAAAGCUCAGGUUCCCAAAAUAUAAUGAUACAAUGAAUUCAAUAGUGUUUUCAAAUGUGGAACAUGUUGACCUCAGAGACAACAACCUCUCGGAUGAAUGUCUCCCAAUACUUCUCAAGUGGUUUGUUAAUGUGACAUUUCUAGACUUAUCGGAGAACUAUUUCACAAUUCUUCCCGAGUGCCUUGGUGAAUGUCACCGUCUUAAGCAUCUUUAUUUGAAGUUUUGCGAGGCUCUUGAGGAAAUUAGAGGGAUUCCACCAAAUCUUGAAAGGCUUUGUGCAGACGAGUGUUAUUCAUUGAGUUCCUCAAGUAUAAGAAUGUUAAUGAGUCAGAAACUGCAUGAGUCUGCUGGAUGCACCCAUUUUCGAUUCCCAAACAAAACGAGAAGGAUUCCUGAUUGGUUUGAGCACCAAAGCAGGGGAGGCAAAAUUGCUUUCUGGUAUCAUAAAAAACUCCCUUCUAUUAGUUUUACUUUUAUUAUUAUUUAUGAGCACUACACAACAGUCAAAUUAUUUGUGAAUGGAUAUGAAAAAGAGAUAAGUUUCGACGAAUUCACUGGGGAAUUCGGUAAGCUAGUGGAUGAUGAAACUGUGUUGGAUAACUAUACAACUUUGUUGCAUAUAAAAUUGGAAGAAGGUAAUGAACUCGGUGAAAGACUUUUGAAAAAGGAAUGGAUCCAUGUGGAGUUUAAGUUGAAGGAUCACGAGAAUAGUGUUUAUGCACAAAUGGGAAUCCACGUGUGGGGAAUUGAUCCUUCAUUAUCACAAUUUAUGCAAGAGGGAAUUGAUCCUUCAAUAUUAUAUCCUCAAAAAAAGCAAAGAUUGGUGGAAGUGGGAGUUUCAGAGAAAGGGGAGGAGGAGGAGGAGGGAUGAGAUUGAAAUAUUAAGCAGUGCGCAAGAUGAAAGAAAGAUGUUGGGUACAUUCCUUAGUCUAGGUCCAUCAUAAAGUUAACCGUCUUCUUGUUAUUCUCUCAAUCUCAACAUUGCAGAUCAGGUCUGAGCUUCAAUAUGCAAUCCAUCUGGAAUUUGGUAGAGUCCUAUUUGGUACUGAUGCUUGGAUCGAUGUCCCUCUCUACUACAGAACAUAGACCAAGGGCCUUAACUGGCAAUUAGUUACACACAUUCAUGGAAACAAGGGUUGAAGCAUUCGCUCGCAAGCAACUCAGGAUUUGGAGGACUUGAUCGGAAUUAUGACAAAGCUUUUCAAUUUGGAUUUUAUGGAAGUAUAGGCUGGUCAAAUAUCCUUCAUGCAGAGAUUCAGGCUCUCCUUGUUGGUCACUUGAUCGGAAUGUUGUUUCUUGAAAUGAUUAAAGUUUGUACCAAAAGACUAUCGGUUUGCAACAUGUGCUCUCUAUGGCAAAAUUAUCCUAGAAGAUCAAAAUGAUUAAAUAAGAAGCUCACAUUUACUAGAAAAUAUCUUUACAAACAUAUCCAAAAUGUGCAUGCUUAUUACACAGUUCCAAGAGUAGUAACAAAACACUGUACAUUCGGUAAAGAUAAAAUAUCAUUCAUUGAUAUAUAAACCAGAUAAGUUUGCAAAUAAA